rnacentral:rRNA from 1 species
GCAACCUACCUAUCGAGAGGGGAAUAACCCGGCGAAAGUCGGACUAAUACCGCAUAAAACAGGGGCACCGCAUGGUGAUAUUUGUUAAAGAAAUUCGCUGAUAGAUGGGCAUGCGUUCCAUUAGGUAGUUGGUGAGGUAACGGCUCACCAAGCCGACGAUGGAUAGGGGAACUGAGAGGUUGGUCCCCCACACUGGUACUGAGACACGGACCAGACUCCUACGGGAGGCAGCAGUGAGGAAUAUUGGUCAAUGGGCGGGAGCCUGAGCCAGCCAAGUCGCGUGGAAAAGGAAGAAGGAUCUAUGGUUCGUAAACUUCUUUUGCAGGGGAAUAAAGUGCAGGACGUGUCCUGUUUUGUAUGUACCCUGAGAAUAAGGAUCGGCUAACUCCGUGCCAGCAGCCGC